GACGAACGCUGGCGGCGUGCCUAAUACAUGCAAGUAGAACGCAGUUGCGAACGGGUGAGUAACGCGUCGGUAACUGCCUCAUAGCGGGGGAUAACUAUUGGAAAAGAUAGCUAAUUCCGCAUACUGUAAGAUGGACCUGCUUUGUAUUAUCUAGUUGGUGAGGUAAAGGCUCACCAAGGCGACUAUACCUAGCCGACCUGAGAGGGGGAUCGGCCACACUGGGCUUGAGACACGGCCCAGAAUCCUACGGGAGGCAGCAGUGGGGAAUCUUCGGCAAUGGACGGAAGUCUGACCGAGCAACGCCGCGUGAGUGAAGAAGGUUUUCGGAUCGUAAAGCCCUGUUGUUAGAGAAGCGGUAACUAACAAGAAAGGUACGGCUAACUACGUGCCAGCCGCCGCGGUAAAC
rnacentral:rRNA from 1 species